GACGAACGCUGGCGGCGUGCCUAAUACAUGCAAGUAGAACGCUGAAGGAGGAGCUUGCUCUUCUGGAUGAGUUGCGAACGGGUGAGUAACGCGUAGGUAACCUGCCUGGUAGCGGGGGAUAACUAUUGGAAACGAUAGCUAAUACCGCAUAAGAGUAGAUGUUGCAUGACAUUUGCUUAAAAGGUGCAAUUGCAUCACUACCAGAUGGACCUGCGUUGUAUUAGCUAGUUGGUGAGGUAACGGCUCACCAAGGCGACGAUACAUAGCCGACCUGAGAGGGUGAUCGGCCACACUGGGACUGAGACACGGCCCAGACUCCUACGGGAGGCAGCAGUAGGGAAUCUUCGGCAAUGGACGGAAGUCUGACCGAGCAACGCCGCGUGAGUGAAGAAGGUUUUCGGAUCGUAAAGCUCUGUUGUAAGAGAAGAACGAGUGUGAGAGUGGAAAGUUCACACUGUGACGGUAUCUUACCAGAAAGGGACGGCUAACUACGUGCCAGCAGCCGCGGUAAUACGUAGGUCCCGAGCGUUGUCCGGAUUUAUUGGGCGUAAAGCGAGCGCAGGCGGUUAGAUAAGUCUGAAGUUAAAGGCUGUGGCUUAACCAUAGUACGCUUUGGAAACUGUUUAACUUGAGUGCAAGAGGGGAGAGUGGAAUUCCAUGUGUAGCGGUGAAAUGCGUAGAUAUAUGGAGGAACACCGGUGGCGAAAUCGGCUCUCUGGCUUGUAACUGACGCUGAGGCUCGAAAGCGUGGGGGAGCAAACAGG
rnacentral:rRNA from 1 species